rnacentral:piRNA from 1 species
UAUGAUUCAAGAAGUCAAUGAAGCUUA